rnacentral:rRNA from 1 species
AGCGUAGGUGGUUGUGCAAGUUGUAUGUGAAAGCCCCAGGCUUAACCUGGGAACUGCAUACAAAACUGUACUUCUAGAGUGUGGGAAAGGCAAGUGGAAUUCCUAGUGUAGCGGUAGAAUGCGUAGAGAUUAGGAGGAACACCAGAGGCGAAGGCGGCUUGCUGGAACACAACUGACACUGAGGCUCGAAAGCGUGGGGAGCAAACAG